CUUCUUUGUGAAGGUGAACUUGAAGCAGGCUCUGGAAGAGGGAAGGCUGUGUAGGAAAGCCGUGGGAGUGGGUUCGGGGAGAGAAGGGGGAAGCGCAGGUGGGGGCAAUGAUUUUGGAGUAGCUAAAUGGAGAAUGCGAGCUUGGAUUCUGAAGGAACUGAGGGCCUUCGGGGAAGCUUUGGAAGGGACAGGGACGUGAUGAAAUCGCGCAGGGACGUUUUUGAGCAGUCAAAAGUUAAGAUCAAAUUAAGGACUGGUUAAGUCACUUUCUUGGCUAAAAAGAUGGAGGAAGAGUGGGGACAAUGGGCAAAAUAUCUUCCAGCCCUGAGGAAAGAGACAAACCUGAUAAAACCAGACUCAGGAUGUGUUCUGAAUUGAUUUAUAUUUACAAGGACUGAGUCCACCAUUCUGCUACUCCAGCUGACCAAAGCAUAUCAAGUUACAGCCAUGUUUCUAUCCAAGCCUCAUUCAAAAGAGCCCAGAGAGGACCUUUGUGGGGGAAUUCUGUUGGGCAGAUAUAGGUGUUUCUAGUGUUGGGCUUCACAAAUGUGUAACCAAGGAAGAGUGCUUAGAAAACAAAAAUAGAAGUUCCCCAUAUUGAAAAGCAGAGCUGGGGUGAAAGUUGUUACGAGUGAGACUUUCCUUUGCUCCUUCCUACUGUGUGAUGUCGGCCAAGUUCUUGGACCUCUCUCAACCUCAGUGUCCUUGACUGGAAACGUGAAUGAUAAUGAUACCCACCUCCCAGGCUUAGCUCUGAUUAAGCUCCAUGUAAAACUGAUGCAGCCUGGGAAAUGAAGAUCCCAAGCACACCUUAGUCCUCGAUCCACGAGGCACCCGAUCGGCCUCGCUCCCCGAUUGCCCUGCAGGCUUCCCUGCACUACUUUCUCAGCACAGACUCCAAGUGGCUUCCAAAUGUGUAUUUCUCAGUUCUCCAGGGGAUGCUCGGCUAUCAGUCCGUGGCUGAGCCUGAAUAAGCACCUGGAGUGCGGGGAUUUGGUCGAGUGUGCUUUUUGGCAGCAAAGCCGGGCUUGGAGUGGGUUCGUCAUGCAGUACAUCUCGCGGCCCAGAAACUCAGGCGGGAAGCGCUCUCCCCUGGGCUCUUCCAGAAGCCACAGUCACACCCACGUAGGCACCCGGAACAGGAAUCCCCGGUGUCACCUGAUAAUCGUUGGUCACCUUAUCACAACUGUUUCCACUCGUGAAGGCAGAAUGCUUUGGUGCAUUUACUCCCCUGGAGAAUCAGAGUGACCUUCCUGAGCUCUUGAGGUUGUGGGCAACGGGUAGACCUGCUUUGCCCCCCUCUUCCCUGUUCCAGUCAGAGUUCCUAAUUCCCUGCCCCUGCUGUAUUUUUCUGCAUAGCACUUUUCAUCAAUGGAAGUGCGUAGUGUGCUUAUUUGUUUGUUUAGUAGUCUCUACAU